AUUGUAAAUGUAAUGAAAUUAAUUCAUUUUUUAUUUUAGACAUUUGAACUAAACCUGGUUACUAGGAAGAGUCUGAAGUUGCUUGUCCAUGUAAAUGUCAGGUGAGAAGCUCUCAGAAACUAUUUGAUAUUAUCAAUGAACAUUUAAAUUUUACAUUUUACAUGCAUGUCUCCAUUCUAUAAUUUCAGCAUGAACAUAAAUAGACUCAAAUGUGUAAAAAUGUACUGCCCUCACAGAAAGUUUCUAAGGAAUUUUUCAAUGACUUUUAGGCUUUUGGAAAAUGCUUUCAACUUGGUUCUUUAAUAUUAUUUUCACAAGUAAUUUUUUUUUUUUUUUUUUUUUUUUUUUUUUUUUGAGAUGGAGUUUCGCUCGUUACCCAGGCUGGAGUGCAAUGGCGCGAUCUCGGCUCACUGCAACCUCCGCCUCCUGGGUUCAGGCAAUUCUCCUGCCUCAGCCGCCUGAGCUGGGAUUACAGGCACGCGCCACCAUGCCCAGCUCUACUAAACUGAUUAGUAGAGACGGGGUUUCACCAUGUUGACCAGGAUGGUCUUGAUCUCUUGACUUCGUGAUCCACCCGCCUCGGCCUCCCAAAGUGCUGGGAUUACAGCCUUGAGCCACUGCACCCGGCCUGAUUAUUUCUCUUUGUUGCCCCAAAUAGACAGCCUGCUUAACCAAAGAGUAGAACCUCAAUGAAAGGAAUAUUUCUAAUAACCCAAUCGCUUCUUUCUUAGAAAGAUAAUUUUGAUGUAUUCUAUAAAACAAAUUAUGCAGGAGGUUAUUAACUAUCUCUAUAUAUUUCACAUAGAUUUGGCACAAGUCUUCCACAGGACCAUUUCUUUGUUC
rnacentral:lncRNA from 1 species